rnacentral:rRNA from 1 species
AUUCGGCGUAAAGGGUGGUUUUAAAAUACUAAUACUAAAGCCGAACGCCCUCACGACUGUUAUACGUUUUCGAGGGUAAGAAGCCCUACUACGAAAGUGGCUUUAAACUCUUUGACCCCACGAAAGCUGUGGAACAAACUGGGAUUAGAUACCCCACUAUGCACAGCCAUAAACUUUGGCAGCCCCUUACAUACACUGCCCGCCAGGGUACUACGAGCAUCAGCUUGAAACCCAAAGGACUUGGCGGUGCCUUAGAACCACCUAGAGGAGCCUGUUCUAGAACCGAUACCCCCCGUUCAACCUCACCCUCCCUUGUUCCUCCCGCCUAUAUACCGCCGUCGUCAGCUUACCCUGUGAAGGUUUAACAGUAAGCAGAAUCAGUA